UACGUAGGUGGCAAGCGUUGUUCGGAAUUACUGGGCGUAAAGGGCGCGUAGGCGGCCCGCUAAGUCGAACGUGAAAUCCCCGGACUCAACCCGGGAACUGCGUCCGAUACUGGCAGGCUUGAAUUCGGGAGAGGGAUGUGGAAUUCCAGGUGUAGCGGUGAAAUGCGUAGAUAUCAGGAGGAACACCGGUGGUGUAGACGGCUCUCUGGACCGUAACUGACGCUGAGACACGAAAGCGUGGGUAGCAAACAGG
rnacentral:rRNA from 1 species